GUCCUACGGGAGGCAGCAGUGGGGAAUAUUGGGCAAUGGGGGAAACCCUGACCCAGCAACGCCGCGUGAGGGAAGAAGGUUUUCGGAUCGUAAACCUCUGUCCUUGGUGAAGAGAAGAAGACGGUAGCCAAGGAGGAAGCCCCGGCUAACUACGUGCCAGCAGCCGCGGUAAUACGUAGGGGGCAAGCGUUGUCCGGAAUGAUUGGGCGUAAAGGGCGCGUAGGCGGCCUGGUAAGUCUGGAGUGAAAGUCCUUCUUUUAAGGAGGGAAUUGCUUUGGAUACUGCUGGGCUUGAGUGCAGGAGAG
rnacentral:rRNA from 1 species